GGUGGAGGUGACAGUUCUCUGUGGGACUUAGGUCCAUCCCGAGGCCAGAGCCUUCCCCCAGGGCAGGGGCAAACGGCCCCUCUAGGAGGGAGCCGGAAGAUUAGGCAGCUCCAUGUAGGUCCACGUUUAGGUGAAGAGAACCCACCAUGAGGAAGGGCAAAAGGAAGAAGCCGGAGUCCAGACGCCAUGGCUCCACCUCACUGCGGGCCAGCUCCGAAUCCACGCCACAGAACGCCAGCUCCGAGUCCACCCCGCAGCAGCCCAGCCCCGGAUCCACCCCACAGCCCAGCCCCAGAUCCACCCCGCAGCCCAGCCCCGGAUCCACCCCGAAGCCCAGCUCUGAAUCCACUCCCUGCCAGUCUGUGCCCCAGGCUCUCCCAGCUCCCAAAACCAACUCCUCCACCCGAGGCCUGCUGCCUCAGGACACUAACACAAGAGCAUCUUCUCAACCCAGGAAAACAGGGGCUGUGACUCGUGCGGGCCCGCGGGCCUACUGUUCCUGUUCCACUUGCCCCGGCAGCUCUGCUUGCUGGCGUCGCCUGGGCCUGUGUCACAGCCGCAUCUUUGAUGUCCUCCUUCCUCGGGUCUGGCCCACCAUGCCAGGGAGAGGAUCCCCAAGCCUCCUCACUUUCUACAGAAAACCUACAAGGAAACACUCCACUCACCGUAAUUCACGUGCUCCAAGCUCUCGGGACUGCUGCUGUGGCUCUGGGGGCCCUGGGAGCUGCCUAUUACACCAUUGAAUCCUUGUGAGCAAACCCCCAGGCCCGCGGUCCGGCAGACCUCCACCAGCCACGGGAAUGGACAAGGAAUGGCCACAGUAGGGCACGUGCUCGAAGCAUCUCAGAAGCCCAACCCAAAAAGUAAACUCAGCAGCCACUCAGGGGCUCUGCUGCCUGAUCAAGGGACUUCCGGGGAGGAAUGAAAGCACCUAAGCCUCAUGUAAUACCACAGCAGCUGAGAGCCUCGGUUUCCCCGUCUGUAAAUAGGGAAGAUCAUGGGACCUGUCUUGAGAUUGUUGGAGUAUGAGAUAAGGUCUGGGGCUGGGGUUGCUUCCCUUUGCCGGGCAAAGAAGUAGAACAUCCAAACCAGGUGGGACCCUGGCCAGCAUCACCCACUACAAGAGACCGGAGUGUUUGUAGAAGGUUCUACAGUAGCCGAGUGCCAGAUGAACUCCAAUGUCCGGGCGUGUUGGCUUGGACAAGCGCUUGAACCACAGAAGGCCCCCUGAGGAUCCAGUUUCCAUCAAGGAUCUCUCUUGUCACCAAAAUAGAACGG